ACACCGUUGGUGAAGUGGUUAUCAUGCUUGCCUUCCAUCUAGAUCUCGAUAAGCGGUGAAGCAAGCGGCUCGGGUUCGAUUCCCGAACGGUGUA